rnacentral:rRNA from 1 species
UGAUCCUGGCUCAGGACGAACGCUGGCGGCGUGCCUAAUACAUGCAAGUCGAGCGGACAGAAGGGAGCUUGCUCCCGGAUGUUAGCGGCGACGGGUGAGUAACACGUGGGUAACCUGCCUGUAAGACUGGGAUAACUCCGGGAAACCGGAGCUAAUACCGGAUAGUUCCUUGAACCGCAUGGUUCAAGGAUGAAAGACGGUUUCGGCUGUCACUUACGAUGGACCCGCGGCGCAUUAGCUAGUUGGUGGGGUAAUGGCUCACCAAGGCGACGAUGCGUAGCCGACCUGAGAGGGUGAUCGGCCACACUGGGACUGAGACACGGCCCAGACUCCUACGGGAGGCACAGUAGGGAAUCUUCCGCAAUGGACGAAAGUCUGACGGAGCAACGCCGCGUGAGUGAUGAAGGUUUUCGGAUCGUAAAGCGUCUGUUGUUAGGGAAGAACAAGUGCGAGAGUAACUGCUCGCACCUG